UACGAAGGGGGCUAGCGUUGCUCGGAAUCACUGGGCGUAAAGCGCACGUUAGGCGGACUCUUAAGUCGGUGGUGAAAUCCUGGAGCUCAACUCCAGAACUGCCUCCGAUACUGGGAGCCUUCGAGUCCGGGAGAGGUGAGUGGAACUGCGAGUGUAGAGGUGAAAUUCGUAGAUAUUCGCAAGAACACCAGUGGCGAAGGCGGCUCACUGGUCCGGUACUGACGCUGAGGUGCGAAAGCGUGGGGAGCAAACAGG
rnacentral:rRNA from 1 species